AAGUCGUAACAAGGUUUCCGUAGGUGAACCUGCGGAAGGAUCAUUAUUGAAACUUCGCGGGGGAGAGGGCUUCGGCCCGCACCGGUGGCGACGCCGUGCUGCGGUCGGGUUCCCGCUCCCCCCUUCCAAACCCCACACACCUGUGAACCUUUGGGAGGGCGGUUGUAGUGACCGCGCUCCCGUUUUAAACAACUCUGACGUCUAUUUGAAUGUGAUUCGGGGCCGCCCCGAUUAAAAAUUGUAACAACUUUCAACAACGGAUCUCUUGGCUCUCGCAUCGAUGAAGAACGCAGCGAAAUGCGAUAAGUAAUGUGAAUUGCAGAAUUCAGUGAAUCAUCGAAUCUUUGAACGCACCUUGCGCCCCUUGGUAUUCCGAGGGGCAUGCCUGUUUGAGUGUCUUGAAACCAUCAAACCUAACCGGUCUUUGUUGGCCGGCGCGGUUUGGACUUGGGGGUCUCUUGCUGCCGUUCGCGGUGGCUCCCCUUAAAUUCAUCGGUCGGGCUUUCGUGCGGCUCUGUCCCUUGGCGUUGUAUUACCCUCGUCGCUGGACGGCUCGCGAUACAGUGCCCGACUUCGACCUGCCUAUGGAGUGGCGGUCUUCAACGCGAUUUUUGUGAUCUGACCUCAA
rnacentral:rRNA from 1 species